rnacentral:tRNA from 5 species
GCCUGCUUAGCUCAGAGGU